AACAUCGGGGCAAGACCGCUCAAC
rnacentral:siRNA from 1 species